rnacentral:lncRNA from 1 species
UGUUACUUGGAGAGAAUUGACUCUGUAGUGUGUACUUACCACUACUUACCCUAACAAAUGUUAUGCAACAAUAGUAUGCACAUGCGCCUCGCAGCACACUUUCUGUGUAUGACAGACCGACCACAUUUUCUGUCAUAUCCAGAGAAAGGGGUGUGACUACUUUAGGGGUGGGACAUGCAAGAGUUAAGAAGACACACAGCUGUGUUAUUUUAUGUUUACACCUGACACAGCAGGACAGCAGCCAUACCUGAAGUAAACUGACAAGAGAUGGCGUAUUCCACCAGCACUCUUGCUGCUGGCUGCUUUGGGAAGAUCUACAGGGAGAAGUACAAUGACACCUGGGCUGCAAUCAAGAAGGUGCCACAACACUUAAUCAAUAGGAGAGACCUGGAGAGAGAGUGUCAAGUAUACAAUAAGGCAAUUCAUCCGAACAUAGUGAAGCUUCUGGGUAAUCCAACACUCAAGGAUUCUAAGUGGAUCAUCCCCAUGGAGUUCAUCUUUGGAGAAGAACUGGAGACAACCAUCUUCAAAUCACAAAAAUCUCAAAUCCAGUUGACUCCAUCUAUAAAGGCCACCAUCAUCACAGGCAUGUGUGAAGGACUACUUUAUCUACACAGCAAAGAUAUUGUCCAUCAGGACCUCAAGCCUGACAACAUCAUGGUAGAGCAUGACACUCACAGAGCUGUGAUCAUUGAUAUGGGACUGGCCAAAUUCUUCUGCAAUGGCCUAAAUUCUGCUAUGGAUAUGGGCAACGAGGCCUACUCUCCCCCUGAGGUCCUGCAGAGGCGGGGCCAGCGAGAUCAGCGCUCGGACGUGUGGGCUAUGGGUAAAAUCAUUGCCGAACUCUGUGCCAGAGUCAGGCUACACACCCCCAGCGUCUGUCCAACUAAGAUCCAGGAGACCCUCAGUCUCCAAGGCCAGCAGUACUGUAACGCUGUCUGUAGGAUGGUGCAGAGAGACCCCACAAUGCGAGCCACCAUGGCUGGAAUCAUGCCGGAGAUACAAAGGGCAGGGGUAGAUGGUGGUGGCGGCAACACCGGUAGGCAGAAAAGAGGACAUCUUCUGACACCCUUUCCUCACACUCAGGUAAAAAAUGCAUUGCCACGUCCUCAAGCUCCUGUACAGCGUUCACCAUCUCCAUCGAGAUUUGAGCGCAGUGCUUUACCAAUGCCUGAGGUCAAGACAGUAGUGCCAGCUCCUGUGCAAGCGCCUUCUCCAUCGAGAUGGGAGCGGGCAGCCUUGCCAAAGACUGAGGUCAAGAACUCACCAUCUUCCCUUUCAAAGAUAGACCAGGGUAAUGCUCUGUUUCCAUCAGGCAUAACUCAACCCAGUCAAGAUGUAAUGAAACAGCUUCUCUACAAAGAGGCAUCGAGGGGUCUCCCAUGCCCACUCCCCAUGACGGGAAAGGUGCGAAUCCGCCGCUAUGAGCAAAGGAAUGGGGAAGUGGAGACUUGGGAGCAAAAGGAGGUGGUGACUGAAGGAGGGAGGAUAGUCAAGUUUGAGGAUGUGAUGUUUAACAACAAGACGUAAAAAGGUUAUUGAGAGGUUGUGAAAUAGUUGGGAGUUGAUUGGACUGUGCUUCUCCAGAGCGUGGGCCACUCCCCUUCCGUCCUUCAAUGUAAAAGUCUGACAUGUUUCUGAAAAAGGUGAAAGACUGUAUUUGGGACAGGGGAUAAACUAAUGGAAUAAUUCUAAUGUCCAGUGAAACUACACUAUGUAACCAUACAUUUACGCAUUUUCUUACUACGGUAGACUAAAUGUAUAUACUGUAUGAAUAUAUAUAUAUCUCAACAACAAUAAAAGUUGUAUUGCACUGUUAAGAAGGAAACCUAAGGUUGAGUAAGGAUUCAUGAAUGAUGUUUGAAGGACUAUAUCACUUUACAGUAUUGCUACGAUAACUAUCUGUGAACGUUUUUGAAAUCUCAUCCCUCUUGCAAAUCAGUUGUAUCUUCAGCUUGAUAUACAUUUGACUGUGAACAUAAUAAAAAAACAUUUGUUUUGUAUCAUCUAAGACAAGAAGAUCUUACAUUUAGCUUACACUUAGGACU